GGAAGUCAGAAGCGCGAGCGGCGGAUGGGUGAGUAACACGUGGGCAACCUGCCCUUUAGCUUGGGAUACCACUUGGAAACAGGUGCUAAUACCAAAUAAGCAGCACGAGCGCAUGCUCGAGCUGAGAAAGGCGGCUUUCGAGCUGUCACUAAAGGAUGGGCCCGCGGUGCAUUAGCUAGUUGGUAAGGUAACGGCUUACCAAGGCGAUGAUGCAUAGCCGAGUUGAGAGACUGACCGGCCACAUUGGGACUGAGACACGGCCCAAACUCCUACGGGAGGCAGCAGUAGGGAAUCUUCCACAAUGGACGCAAGUCUGAUGGAGCAACGCCGCGUGAGUGAAGAAGGUUUUCGGAUCGUAAAGCUCUGUUGUUGGUGAAGAAGGACAAGGGUAGUAACUGAUUCUUGUUUGACGGUAAUCAACCAGAAAGUCACGGCUAACUACGUGC
rnacentral:rRNA from 1 species